rnacentral:rRNA from 1 species
UGCAAGUCGAGCGGUAGCACAGAGAGCUUGCUCUCGGGUGACGAGCGGCGGACGGGUGAGUAAUGUCUGGGAAACUGCCUGAUGGAGGGGGAUAACUACUGGAAACGGUAGCUAAUACCGCAUAAUGUCGCAAGACCAAAGUGGGGGACCUUCGGGCCUCAUGCCAUCAGAUGUGCCCAGAUGGGAUUAGCUAGUAGGUGGGGUAACGGCUCACCUAGGCGACGAUCCCUAGCUGGUCUGAGAGGAUGACCAGCCACACUGGAACUGAGACACGGUCCAGACUCCUACGGGAGGCAGCAGUGGGGAAUAUUGCACAAUGGGCGCAAGCCUGAUGCAGCCAUGCCGCGUGUGUGAAGAAGGCCUUCGGGUUGUAAAGCACUUUCAGCGGGGAGGAAGGCGUUAAGGUUAAUAACCUUGGCGAUUGACGUUACCCGCAGAAGAAGCACCGGCUAACUCCGUGCCAGCAGCCGCGGUAAUACGGAGGGUGCAAGCGUUAAUCGGAAUUACUGGGCGUAAAGCGCACGCAGGCGGUCUGUCAAGUCGGAUGUGAAAUCCCCGGGCUCAACCUGGGAACUGCAUUCGAAACUGGCAGGCUAGAGUCUUGUAGAGGGGGGUAGAAUUCCAGGUGUAGCGGUGAAAUGCGUAGAGAUCUGGAGGAAUACCGGUGGCGAAGGCGGCCCCCUGGACAAAGACUGACGCUCAGGUGCGAAAGCGUGGGGAGCAAACAGGAUUAGAUACCCUGGUAGUCCACGCCGUAAACGAUGUCGAUUUGGAGGUUGUGCCCUUGAGGCGUGGCUUCCGGAGCUAACGCGUUAAAUCGACCGCCUGGGGAGUACGGCCGCAAGGUUAAAACUCAAAUGAAUUGACGGGGGCCCGCACAAGCGGUGGAGCAUGUGGUUUAAUUCGAUGCAACGCGAAGAACCUUACCUGGUCUUGACAUCCACAGAACUUUCCAGAGAUGGAUUGGUGCCUUCGGGAACUGUGAGACAGGUGCUGCAUGGCUGUCGUCAGCUCGUGUUGUGAAAUGUUGGGUUAAGUCCCGCAACGAGCGCAACCCUUAUCCUUUGUUGCCAGCGGUCCGGCCGGGAACUCAAAGGAGACUGCCAGUGAUAAACUGGAGGAAGGUGGGGAUGACGUCAAGUCAUCAUGGCCCUUACGACCAGGGCUACACACGUGCUACAAUGGCAUAUACAAAGAGAAGCGACCUCGCGAGAGCAAGCGGACCUCAUAAAGUAUGUCGUAGUCCGGAUUGGAGUCUGCAACUCGACUCCAUGAAGUCGGAAUCGCUAGUAAUCGUAGAUCAGAA